UUGUUCUUUCUUUUUAUUUCUUUUUCUUUCAUUUUCUUUUCUUUUUAUUUUCAUUUUACUUGGCAUUUUGGGGAUUAAAUCAAGGAGCACAACAAAGGAGAAUACAUUAAGAUGGAGAAAUCUUGGGAAAAUCAAGUUCAAGCUACAAAAAUGGGGUUUUAUCUAUAAACUUUGUAUUUUUUCCAUUAUUUUGCCAUAU
rnacentral:lncRNA from 1 species